rnacentral:rRNA from 1 species
GACGAACGCUGGCGGCGUGCUUAACACAUGCAAGUCGAACGGAAAGGCCCUGCUUUUGUGGGGUGCUCGAGUGGCGAACGGGUGAGUAACACGUGAGUAACCUGCCCUUGACUUUGGGAUAACUUCAGGAAACUGGGGCUAAUACCGGAUAGGAGCUCCUGCUGCAUGGUGGGGGUUGGAAAGUUUCGGCGGUUGGGGAUGGAUUCGCGGCUUAUCAGCUUGUUGGUGGGGUAGUGGCUUACCAAGGCUUUGACGGGUAGCCGGCCUGAGAGGGUGACCGGCCACAUUGGGAAUGAGAUACGGCCCAGACUCCUACGGGAGGCAGAAGUGGGGAAUAUUGCACAAUGGGCGGAAGCCUGAUGCAGCAACGCCGCGUGCGGGAUGACGGCCUUCGGGUUGUAAACCGCUUUCGCCUGUGACGAAGCGUGAGUGACGGUAAUGGGUAAAGAAGCACCGGCUAACUACGUG